rnacentral:rRNA from 1 species
AAAUCCCGAGAAAUCGGGACAUCCUUCGAGGGUGGUACACAGCUGUUGCAUGGCUGUCGUCAGCUCGUGACGUGAGUUGUUCUCUUAAGUGGGUAACGAGCGCAACCCCGUUCUGUGUUAUUGUGUCACAGAAGACUGCCUAGCAUUAUUUUAGUUAGGAGGAGGAGGGACGACGUCAAGUCAUCAUGAUGCUUAUAUCCAGGGCUACACACAUCCUACAAUGGGCUAUAACAGAGGGUUGCAAGACCGCAAGGUGGAGCUAAUCCCUAAACUAGCCCUCAGUUGGGAUUGCGGGCUGAAACUCGCCCGCAUGAACCCGGAAUUGGUAGUAAUCGCACAUCAGCAGCGUGCGGUGAAUACGUUCUCGCCUCUU